rnacentral:rRNA from 1 species
GGCAGAGGGUGCAAACGUUGUUCGGAAUUACUGGGCGUAAAGCGCGUGUAGGCGGCCCUGUAAGUCGGGUGUGAAAUCCCACGGCUCAACCGUGGAAGUGCAUUCGAAACUACAGGGCUAGAGUUCUGGAGAGGAAGGUGGAAUGCUUGGUGUAGAGGUGAAAUUCGUAGAUAUCAAGCGGAACACCGGUGGCGAAGGCGGCCUUCUGGACAGUAACUGACGCUGAGACGCGAAAGCGUGGGGAGCAAACAGG